rnacentral:rRNA from 1 species
UACGGAGGGUGCAAGCGUUAUCCGGAUUCACUGGGUUUAAAGGGUGCGUAGGUGGGAAAGUAAGUCAGUGGUGAAAUCUCCGUGCUUAACACGGAAACUGCCAUUGAUACUAUUUUUCUUGAAUUUUCUGGAGGUCAGCGGAAUAUGUCAUGUAGCGGUGAAAUGCUUAGAUAUGACAUAGAACACCAAUUGCGAAGGCAGCUGGCUACAGGGAUAUUGACACUGAGGCACGAAAGCGUGGGGAUCAAACAGG